UUUUGCAUGUGUAUUUUGUUAUUGUUUAGCAAUAUUACAUAUCUUAAUGAGCAUUAUUAUUUUUAGGCAGUCUGCAUCCUAUACUCAAAAAGACGAGAAAUACUGACAGGCUAACUGGAAGCUGACAGUCAUCAGAAACAUCCCUGAUGCUAAAUGCUUUGGAUGUAUGCUGAUUUUUGAAACAAGAAAAUUGCCAUCAAACAGCGAACCUGAUGCAAUUUCGUGUUACGGGCAAAUUGAUGCUGAAAAUGUGCUGUGGUUUUGCCUUGCACUUAGAGCGUCAAGCUAAAGAUGGCAUUAAUAGGUAAAAUUUUGUUGUCCAAUAUUAGAACAACAAAGCAGAAAACAUCACCGUCCAUAAGACUUGAAUAACUUUAUGAUAGGUACCAGAAAACGCAAAUGUUUAGUUUAAAAGAAAUAAAAUUGUCAAAAUUCCA